GCUGCCUCUGAAGGUGUUGCAGGUGCUAGCCCCAUCUGUGUCAGCAGGUGGCAGAGAGGAAGGCAGCCAAAUCUAUGCUCUAUGCACUGACCUGUAGGCAGCAGCCCUGGGGCUGCACUGU